rnacentral:rRNA from 1 species
UGAGAUUUAAAGAGCCGCAGUAUCCUGACUGUGCUAAGGUAGCAUAAUCAUUAGUCUUUUAAUUGGAGACUGGUAUGAAUGGUUAAACGAGAAAUCAACUUUUUUUGUUGUAAAUCUUGAAUUUAACUUUUUAGUGAAAAGGCUAAAAUUUUUCAAAAAGACGAGAAGACCCUAUAGAGUUUUAUAAUCAAGGGAAUAUUUCUUUCUUAGAUUUUUAUGAGAGGUAUUUACUGUAGUUAUUUUGUUGGGGCGACAUUUAGAUAUAAAAAACUCUUUAUUUUUAAAACUUUUAUGAAAGGUAAAUUGAUCCUUUAAAAAAGAUCAUAAGAAAAAAUUACCUUAGGGAUAACAGCGUAAUCUUUUUUGAGAGUUCUAAUCGACAAAAAGGUUUGCGACCUCGAUGUUGGACUAAAAUUAAGGCAGGGUGCAGCAGUUCUGCUAUAAGGUCUGUUCGACCUAUAAUUUUUUACACGAUCUGAGUUCAGACCGGCGUAAGCCAGGUUG